AUGCAGAUGGUGUCCUGCGGUCGCACUGCCGUGAACAUCAAUGGCGAGAUCGGCCCUUACUUACCCACUCUUUGUGGGGUUAGACAAGGCGACCCCUUCUCCCCAUUCUUGUUUAACAUGGUGGCGGAUGCGCUUGCCGCCAUCCUGGACAAGGCUAAGGCUGCGGGCCAUAUUCGUGGGAUCACCCCCCACCUGGCCGGCGGCUCCGGGAGCUCCCUUCUCCAGUACGCUGACGACACCAUCAUCAUGGUA
rnacentral:rRNA from 1 species